CAGAAAAGACAAAAUGAAUGAACAGUGGACUGGCGAUUGUGCCCUCCGUGCUGUUGGUUAUUGCACGCAAUGAAUAGUUCCCUUACUAUUCUGCCCUUGCCUCAUGUCUUCGGUGUUGGAUAGGGAUCGUUGUCGGGUUUGGAAUUCAGCCACUCAGAUCAAGAAAAAAAAAAAAAAAAAGCAAAAGAAGAGAAAAGAAGGAAAAGAAGAAUCGAAGAGAGGGGAAGAUCUCGCCGAUAACCGUCGGGUUUGAAACUCAGCCACUUAGAUCAAGAUCAAAAAAAGCAAAAGAAGAGAAAAGACGGAAAAGAAGAAUAGAAAAGAGGAGAAGAUCUCGCCGAGAAUAGACCGGCCGGAAGGUCGCUGGGGUGGGAAAGAGAAAGAGGAGAGAUCCAAGAUUGUGGUGGACUUCCGGGGGAAGGUUUGAGUUUGUUUCUGGAGAGGUGGAUGCUAAAAUUUUGAUCGAGUUUGGGGGAGAGCUUUCAGCAGGAGAAGAGUGUAGAGAUGAAGAAGGGAUAUUCUUGGUAUAUUCAGUCAGUAGCUUUGAAAGCACCUGUGUAUUCAAUUGGACCAAUUUAGGAGUGGAGUGCCUUUUGUGUAAUAAAAAGUUUCUGGUCAAGUAUGAAGGAAUUCCUGGGAAUGGAGUAGCUUGAACACCGCUUAUUAUGGUGGAGUAUCAUUAAAAUGAGAUGUAUUGUUUGACAUAUAUUAUCUAGAACCCCCACUUAUUGUCAAAACAAAAAGAAAGUGAAAUGGUUAAUUGCUUUUGGGGGGUAACAAUGAAUACAGAAGUCAUUGCCUACAAUAGCUCUUUAUGUGAGUGGACAUAAUGGGGAGUGCAAUUUCUUUCUGCUGUUUCGGAUUAUAUAGUGCAAAUUGUUUCUGUUUCAUAUUUGUUAGUUGAUUACAUGGAAUAAAAACCUGUAGGCUGUAUACUGCUGGUAUUAAAAGGAAAGUCUCUGAUCCUAUGUACUGUAAAUAUUGACAUUUAGAAGAUUAACAUUUCUCUGGAAUUUUUUAUAUGUUUUUGCUUAUUUAUUUGAAUACGGUAUCAGUUUGCCACAAAGAACUAUUUGGUAGGUGGGAAUUUGAAACACCAGUUCAUCCAUAUUCUGCUUAGUGCUGCUUUCCAUAUUCUACACUCUACAUUCUAGAGUUGUAUACAGAAUUACAGUUGAAUUAAAAAUGGGUUCAUAAACACACUCAGUUGAACAAGUCAAAGAUAAUAAUCUAUGGCAUUCUGUACAUACUAGAACUCUCUAUUUUUACUUAAAUACUGAGACCAAGAGAAGGAAAUACAUUCAUGACCCUUAUAUAUACCAUAGACUUCCAUGUCAUCAAAAGAAAAGAAAAAGAAAAAAAAAACACUUCCAUGUGCUAAACUAAUUAAUAACAUCAGCUUGGAUAAUGAGGUUAAUAUAAAAGUUUCCCUUGGAUUUUUAAACUAUUGUUAGUCAUUUCAUGAUAUUAAUUAUAUCUAUUUUGCUUUCCGAGCUUAAUAAUGCUCCUGUUGUGCUGAGAGGAUUUGAAUUUAGCAAACUUCAGGAAAACUAUCAGCAAGUUUGUUGAUUGAUUGAACCAAAGUAUAGAAAUAGGCAAUUCAUUAGUCCUUGAAAUGAAGGUGCGGACUGUUGAUAGAAGUUGAGUCUCACUUUUGGCAUUUCUCUAUCAGAUGACAUCUAUCAAUGGAAACCGGGAACUAGGAGUAUAACACUCGCUGUAUUUUCUCAAUUGCUGCGAUUCUCUAAGAUUCUCAACUUUCCGGUCUCAAUUUAUCAAACAAUGAGGAUUGGUUUGUGCUUCAGUCUAAGGCAAUGAGAAUGAGCAAAGGGUGACAAGUUGUUGGCGUCGCAAAAUGCAGAGAGCCAUCAGAGGACGACAAAGUUACUAGAUGAAGAAAUUGAAGAGGACGAGAUGUUCUGGAAUCAGGAGGCUCUUAAAGAGGAGGAAGAAGAUGAUAACUAUGAAGUGGAGCUGAAAGUUGUUGAUUUGUUUGAUAAUGACUUGGUUAAAGAUUUCCUAAGCUGGAUUGAGCGAUGCUGUGAUUUGGUGUUGAAGCAUCUUUCAGUCAUCCAGAAACAAAGAUGCUGAUGAAAAAAGUUGAUGCAUUGAUGAAAGCCAUGGAGCAGAGUCUAUGAAAAUAAAGAGAGAAACCGUAGCUAAAGAUAAAGAAGCUGCAGCAGCCAAGGUGGAUGCUGACAAAAAGAACAGAAUUACAAACUCAUCUAAGAGGUUAUAAUUACUUUUCAACAGCCUCAAUACCAUUCUUUCCUUUUGUAUGAUGCUUCUGUAGCAGCAUCCCUUUCAAAUAUUAAAAUUUUUCAGAUCUGAUCACCUGAAUAUAUGAUUGAUUUUAUGGUUUACUUCUAAUUGCUGGGGGUAACAAAAGCAUCUUCAAUGUUUGGUUACACGAGAUUUAUUGAAGAUAAUGUGGAGAUUUAGUAUUUAUGAGCAAUGUGUCCUAUUAUGAUCAUACGACAAUAAUUCCCGCAGCAAAGUUUCAGCUUAAUGACAAAUUUAAACCCAGUUCGUUUUUCUGUCCAAGUUUAUGUACAAAAUUUGGGUUCCUGUUUCUUUAAAGUUUUAUUUUGGGUUCUGAUUCUGCGUCAUUUUGAUGCGUCAAAUCUGAUAUAACUCCCCUAGGUCCACUCCUUGAUAAGACUGAACGUUAUUUCACCAAGGUAAACUCAACCUCCUGUGCAAAAAAUUUAAGUUCAUGUAUUUUGAUUAUCUCUGCAUUCUUCCGUGACUACAAAGGAACUCCAUAAGAAAGCUGACUGGUAAGAUGUCUUCUAAUAUUUAUUUAUUAUCUGCUUUGCCUACAUUUUAGAUAAUAAGCUUCUGAUAGAACACUUGGAAAUGAAGCGUACUGUUGAAAGGCCAACUGUCGACAACCUUAUCUGGUUUGCUCACAUUUUAGAAAGAUAUGAGAAGUUGAAGUUGGAGAUUGUGAAUAGAAAGAGCGAGAAUGAAAAUUUAAGGCAGAAUUCAUCGACCAAAUUAAGAGACCAGCUAUUGACCAGCAUUGCUCUUCAGCAAGCAACACCAACACCGACUGAACAUUGUAUUCAAUUUAUAGCUUCAUUAAAGUACAUACAUCAAGUUUGAUCUGAAA